GCCGUUGUAGCUCAGCUGGUAGAGCAUUUCCAUGGUAAGGAAAAGGUCACCGGUUCAAUCCCGGUCAACGGCU
rnacentral:tRNA from 1 species